rnacentral:lncRNA from 1 species
CAUUUCUCUAGCUAAGUCUAGAUCCUUCCAAUGGAAGAUUCUAGACCCACCUUGACUUCUCUUGUAUAUUCUACUAGGUGUAGAGAUUUGUAGAGAUUUGUAGAACUCUCUAGAGCUUUGAUCUUAGCCAUUGAUAAGAAUAGAUCUUAGCCGUUGAUUUGGGACUCUAGCAACUAUAAAUAGGCUAGAGGCAUUUGGCAUUUACAUCCAAGAAACACUCAAGCAAUCCAACACUUGUAUAAAGCAUUCUCUUGUUUAAUACAAAGCAUUCUUGCAAGCUUCUC